GCGCCCGUAGCUCAGCUGGAUAGAGCGCCGGACUUCGAAUCCGUAGGCCGGGGGUUCGAAUCCCUCCGGGCGUG
rfam:Candidatus Magnetoglobus multicellularis str. Araruama Cont264, whole genome shotgun sequence.